GAGAGCUGGCCCUGAGGUCGGAAGAGCAGAGCGGGAGAGCUGUCUUUGCUCUGUGUACCAACUACAGCUUGUGAGAGAGUGGCCCCUGCACCUCACCAGAGUAACACAGGCCCAGAACCAGGACUAUGAGCUGGCCCAUCCCAACAUCCAGCCCAUCUGUGAUCUGCCGGAGCACCUGAAGGGGCCGGACCUACAGACCCAAAAGCAGCCAAUCUCCAUGGCGUGGGGGCAACAACAGGAUCUCCAUGAGGAGUGAGGGCCAAGCAUUGAUAGUGUAGCAGAAACCGGAGACCUGGAACAAGACCGACGACUCUUGUUUGCAACGAACACUUGCCAGUGAAGAUACAGACACGGGGUAGGCGGGGGAAUCUGGGGAAGCCUGAUCUCCCCUUGGCUGAUGCAGGAUGGUACCUGACUUCAGGAGGAUCCCACUCCCUCAGCCACAGUGGAGACUCCACCCUGUGACAAAGGCCAGCUCUCUACAGCUUCAUUGCUAACCCCUCCUAUGUUAUCCAUAUUAAGGGUCUGCAGUCUCCAAACGAGAUGGGAACACGUUGUUUUAUAACCAGAAAUCACAACAGGUCUUGUUUGGAACGACAUAGCUGACAUCAAUUCCAGAAAGACUACGAGCCCAGAUGACAGGGAGCUUCGAAAAAAUACAGAGAAUCUCGGACAAAAUACAGGCCUUUCAGGAGGAGGGGGACAGCCAGGAAGACUGAGGGAAGAAAGAGGGAAGGAGGGAGGGGGAGAGAGAGGAGGAAACAAGGGAGGGAGAGGUAGAGAGAGAGGG